GGUUAAGCGACUAAGCGUACACGGUGGAUGCCCUGGCAGUCAGAGGCGAUGAAGGACGUGCUAAUCUGCGAAAAGCGUCGGUAAGGUGAUAUGAACCGUUACAGCCGGCGAUGUCCGAAUGGGGAAACCCAGUGUGAUUCGUCACACUAUCGUUAACUGAAUACAUAGGUUAACGAGGCGAACCGGGGGAACUGAAACAUCUAAGUACCCCGAGGAAAAGAAAUCAACCGAGAUUCCCCCAGUAGCGGCGAGCGAACGGGGAGCAGCCCAGAGUCUGAAUCAGCUUGUGUGUUAGUGGAACGGUCUGGAAAGUCCGACGGUACAGGGUGAUAGUCCCGUACACCAAAAUGCACAGGUUGUGAACUCGAAGAGUAGGGCGGGACACGUGGUAUCCUGUCUGAAUAUGGGGGGACCAUCCUCCAAGGCUAAAUACUCCUGACUGACCGAUAGUGAACCAGUACCGUGAGGGAAAGGCGAAAAGAACCCCGGCGAGGGGAGUGAAAAAGAACCUGAAACCGUGUACGUACAAGCAGUGGGAGCACCUUCGGGUGUGACUGCGUACCUUUUGUAUAAUGGGUCAGCGACUUAUAUUCUGUAGCAAGGUUAACCGUAUAGGGGAGCCGCAGGGAAACCGAGUCUUAACUGGGCGUUAAGUUGCAGGGUAUAGACCCGAAACCCGGUGAUCUAGCCAUGGGCAGGUUGAAGGUUGGGUAACACUAACUGGAGGACCGAACCGACUAAUGUUGAAAAAUUAGCGGAUGACUUGUGGCUGGGGGUGAAAGGCCAAUCAAACCGGGAGAUAGCUGGUUCUCCCCGAAAGCUAUUUAGGUAGCGCCUCGUGAACUCAUCUUCGGGGGUAGAGCACUGUUUCGGCUAGGGGGUCAUCCCGACUUACCAACCCGAUGCAAACUACGAAUACCGAAGAAUGUUAUCACGGGAGACACACGGCGGGUGCUAACGUCCGUCGUGAAGAGGGAAACAACCCAGACCGCCAGCUAAGGUCCCAAAGUCAUGGUUAAGUGGGAAACGAUGUGGGAAGGCACAGACAGCCAGGAUGUUGGCUUAGAAGCAGCCAUCAUUUAAAGAAAGCGUAAUAGCUCACUGGUCGAGUCGGCCUGCGCGGAAGAUGUAACGGGGCUAAACCAUGCACCGAAGCUGCGGCAGCGACACUAUGUGUUGUUGGGUAGGGGAGCGUUCUGUAAGCCUGCGAAGGUGUGCUGUGAGGCAUGCUGGAGGUAUCAGAAGUGCGAAUGCUGACAUAAGUAACGAUAAAGCGGGUGAAAAGCCCGCUCGCCGGAAGACCAAGGGUUCCUGUCCAACGUUAAUCGGGGCAGGGUGAGUCGACCCCUAAGGCGAGGCCGAAAGGCGUAGUCGAUGGGAAACAGGUUAAUAUUCCUGUACUUGGUGUUACUGCGAAGGGGGGACGGAGAAGGCUAUGUUAGCCGGGCGACGGUUGUCCCGGUUUAAGCAUGUAGGCUGGUUAUCCAGGCAAAUCCGGAUAAUCAAGGCUGAGGUGUGAUGACGAGGCACUACGGUGCUGAAGUAACAAAUGCCCUGCUUCCAGGAAAAGCCUCUAAGCAUCAGGUAACAUCAAAUCGUACCCCAAACCGACACAGGUGGUCAGGUAGAGAAUACCAAGGCGCUUGAGAGAACUCGGGUGAAGGAACUAGGCAAAAUGGUGCCGUAACUUCGGGAGAAGGCACGCUGGUGUGUAGGUGAAGUCCCUGCGGAUGGAGCUGAGACCAGUCGAAGAUACCAGCUGGCUGCAACUGUUUAUUAAAAACACAGCACUGUGCAAACACGAAAGUGGACGUAUACGGUGUGACGCCUGCCCGGUGCCGGAAGGUUAAUUGAUGGGGUUAUCCGUAAGGAGAAGCUCUUGAUCGAAGCCCCGGUAAACGGCGGCCGUAACUAUAACGGUCCUAAGGUAGCGAAAUUCCUUGUCGGGUAAGUUCCGACCUGCACGAAUGGCGUAAUGAUGGCCAGGCUGUCUCCACCCGAGACUCAGUGAAAUUGAACUCGCUGUGAAGAUGCAGUGUACCCGCGGCAAGACGGAAAGACCCCGUGAACCUUUACUAUAGCUUGACACUGAACAUUGAGCCUUGAUGUGUAGGAUAGGUGGGAGGCUUUGAAGCGUGGACGCCAGUCUGCGUGGAGCCAACCUUGAAAUACCACCCUUUAAUGUUUGAUGUUCUAACGUUGGCCCCUGACCGGGGUUGCGGACAGUGUCUGGUGGGUAGUUUGACUGGGGCGGUCUCCUCCCAAAGCGUAACGGAGGAGCACGAAGGUUAGCUAAUCCUGGUCGGACAUCAGGAGGUUAGUGCAAUGGCAUAAGCUAGCUUGACUGCGAGCGUGACGGCGCGAGCAGGUGCGAAAGCAGGUCAUAGUGAUCCGGUGGUUCUGAAUGGAAGGGCCAUCGCUCAACGGAUAAAAGGUACUCCGGGGAUAACAGGCUGAUACCGCCCAAGAGUUCAUAUCGACGGCGGUGUUUGGCACCUCGAUGUCGGCUCAUCACAUCCUGGGGCUGAAGUAGGUCCCAAGGGUAUGGCUGUUCGCCAUUUAAAGUGGUACGCGAGCUGGGUUUAGAACGUCGUGAGACAGUUCGGUCCCUAUCUGCCGUGGGCGCUGGAGAAUUGAGGGGGGCUGCUCCUAGUACGAGAGGACCGGAGUGGACGCAUCACUGGUGUUCGGGUUGUCAUGCCAAUGGCACUGCCCGGUAGCUAAAUGCGGAAGAGAUAAGUGCUGAAAGCAUCUAAGCACGAAACUUGCCCCGAGAUGAGUUCUCCCUGAGACUUUAAGUCUCCUGAAGGAACGUUGAAGACGACGACGUUGAUAGGCCGGGUGUGUAAGCGCAGCGAUGCGUUGAGCUAACCGGUACUAAUGAACCGUGAGGCUUAACCUU
rnacentral:rRNA from 1 species